rnacentral:rRNA from 1 species
GAAUCAAAACUUUCAACAACGGAUCUCUUGGUUCUGGCAUCGAUGAAGAACGCAGCGAAAUGCGAUAAGUAAUGUGAAUUGCAGAAUUCAGUGAACCAUCGAAUCUUUGAACGCACAUUGCGCCCGCCAGCACUCUGGCGGGCAUGCCUGUUCGAGCG